rnacentral:rRNA from 1 species
CUGCUGCCUCCCGUAGGAGUCUGGUCCGUGUCUCAGUACCAGUGUGGGGGACCUUCCUCUCAGAACCCCUACGCAUCGUCGCCACGGUGAGCCGCUACCCCGCCGUCUAGCUAAUGCGCCGCAUGCCCAUCCUCUUCCGAUGAAUCUUUCCUCGAUCUCGGAUGCCCGAAACCGAUAUACGCGGGAUUAGCCUCCCUUUCGGAAGGUUGUCCCCCUGAAGAGGGCAGGUUGCAUACGUGUUACUCACCCGUGCGCCGG